rnacentral:rRNA from 1 species
GAGUUUGAUCAUGGCUCAGAUUGAACGCUGGCGGCAGGCCUAACACAUGCAAGUCGAGCGGAUGAAGGGAGCUUGCUCCUGGAUUCAGCGGCGGACGGGUGAGUAAUGCCUAGGAAUCUGCCUGGUAGUGGGGGAUAACGUCCGGAAACGGGCGCUAAUACCGCAUACGUCCUGAGGGAGAAAGUGGGGGAUCUUCGGACCUCACGCUAUCAGAUGAGCCUAGGUCGGAUUAGCUAGUUGGUGGGGUAAAGGCCUACCAAGGCGACGAUCCGUAACUGGUCUGAGAGGAUGAUCAGUCACACUGGAACUGAGACACGGUCCAGACUCCUACGGGAGGCAGCAGUGGGGAAUAUUGGACAAUGGGCGAAAGCCUGAUCCAGCCAUGCCGCGUGUGUGAAGAAGGUCUUCGGAUUGUAAAGCACUUUAAGUUGGGAGGAAGGGCAGUAAGUUAAUACCUUGCUGUUUUGACGUUACCAACAGAAUAAGCACCGGCUAACUUCGUGCCAGCAGCCGACCG